rnacentral:rRNA from 1 species
GGGCUUGACAUCCCACGAACCUGCCCGAAAAGGUGGGGUGCCCGCAAGGGAGCGUGGAGACAGGUGGUGCAUGGCUGUCGUCAGCUCGUGUCGUGAGAUGUUGGGUUAAGUCCCGCAACGAGCGCAACCCUCACCCCUAGUUGCCACCGGGUUAAGCCGAGCACUCAAGGGGAACUGCCAGCGUCAAGCUGGAGGAAGGCGGGGAUGACGUCAAGUCAUCAUGCCCCUUACGCCCUGAGCUACACACGUGCUACAAUAGUCAGUACAAAGGGACGCGAGACUGCGAAGUGGAGCUAAUCCCAAAAAGCUGGUCUAAGUUCAGAUUGCAGUCUGCAACUCGACUGCAUGAAGGAGGAGUCGCUAGUAAUCGCGCAUCAGCCCGGCGCGGUGAAUACGUUCCCGGGCCUUGUACACACCGCCCGUCGCACCACGAAAGCUGUCUGUACUCGAAGUCGCUGAG